AUGAACGCUGGCGGCGUGCCUCAUACAUGCAAGUCGAGCGAACGGACGAGAAGCUUGCUUCUCUGAUGUUAGCGGCGGACGGGUGAGUAACACGUGGAUAACCUACCUAUAAGACUGGGAUAACUUCGGGAAACCGGAGCUAAUACCGGAUAAUAUUUUGAACCGCAUGGUUCAAAAGUGAAAGACGGUCUUGCUGUCACUUAUAGAUGGAUCCGCGCUGCAUUAGCUAGUUGGUAAGGUGACGGCUUACCAAGGCAACGAUGCAUAGCCGACCUGAGAGGGUGAUCGGCCACACUGGAACUGAGACACGGUCCAGACUCCUACGGGAGGCAGCAGUAGGGAAUCUUCCGCAAUGGGCGAAAGCCUGACGGAGCAACGCCGCGUGAGUGAUGAAGGUCUUCGGAUCGUAAAACUCUGUUAUUAGGGAAGAACAUAUGUGUAAGUAACUGUGCACAUCUUGACGGUACCUAAUCAGAAAGCCACGGCUAACUACGUG
rnacentral:rRNA from 1 species